GUGAGGUAACGGCUCACCAAGGCAACGACGGGUAGCUGGUCUGAGAGGACGAUCAGCCACACUGGGACUGAGACACGGCCCAGACUCCUACGGGAGGCAGCAGCAGGGAAUAUUGCACAAUGGGCGCAAGCCUGAUGCAGCGACGCCGCGUGAGGGAUGAAUGCCUUCGGGUUGUAAACCUCUUUCAGGAGGGACGAAGCGAAAGUGACGGUACCUCCAGAAGAAGCCCCGGCCAACUACGUGCCAGCAGCCGCGGUAAUACGUAGGGGGCGAGCGUUGUCCGGAUUCAUUGGGCGUAAAGAGCUCGUAGGCGGCUCAGCAAGUCGGCCGUGAAAGCCCGAGGCUCAACCUUGGGAGGCCGGUCGAAACUGCUGUGGCUAGGGUCCGGUAGAGGAGAGUGGAAUUCCCGGUGUAGCGGUGAAAUGCGCAGAUAUCGGGAGGAACACCAGUAGCGAAGGCGGCUCUCUGGGCCGGUACCGACGCUGAGGAGCGAAAGCUAGGGGAGCAAACAGGAUUAGAUACCCUGGUAGUCCUAGCCGUAAACGUUGGGCACUAGGUGUGGCGGAUUCAUUGACAUCUGCCGUGCCGUAGCUAACGCAUUAAGUG
rnacentral:rRNA from 1 species